CAACCCUCAAGCAAUGCUUGGUGUUGGGCUCCGCCGCCGACCCGGCGGGCCCUAAAACCAAUGGCGGUGCCGUCGAGGCCCUGAGCGCAGUAAAUAUCCUCGCUAUAGGGACCCGGCGGUCGCUGGCCACCAACCCCCACCUCCUAA
rnacentral:misc_RNA from 1 species